AACGAACGCUGGCGGCAGGCCUAACACAUGCAAGUCGAGCGAACCCUUCGGGGUUAGCGGCGGACGGGUGAGUAACGCGUGGGAACGUGCCCUUUGCUACGGAAUAGCCCCCGGGAAACUGGGAGUAAUACCGUAUGUGCCCUUCGGGGGAAAGAUUUAUCGGCAAAGGAUCGGCCCGCGUUGGAUUAGGUAGUUGGUGGGGUAAUGGCCUACCAAGCCGACGAUCCAUAGCUGGUUUGAGAGGAUGAUCAGCCACACUGGGACUGAGACACGGCCCAGACUCCUACGGGAGGCAGCAGUGGGGAAUCUUAGACAAUGGGCGCAAGCCUGAUCUAGCCAUGCCGCGUGAUCGAUGAAGGCCUUAGGGUUGUAAAGAUCUUUCAGUGGGGAAGAUAAUGACUGUACCCACAGAAGAAGCCCCGGCUAACUCCGUG
rnacentral:rRNA from 1 species